UACGGAGGGUGCAAGCGUUGCUCGGAAUCAUUGGGCGUAAAGCGCUCGUAGGCGGCCUGUUACGCCGGCUGUGAAAGCCCUCGGCUUAACCGAGGAAGUGCAUUCGAAACUGGCAGUCUUGAGUACAGAAGAGGGUCGCGGAAUUCCCGGUGUAGAGGUGAAAUUCGUAGAUAUCGGGAGGAACACCGGUGGCGAAGGCGGUUCUCUGGGCAUUACCUGACGCUGAGGAGCGAAAGUGUGGGGAGCGAACAGG
rnacentral:rRNA from 1 species